rnacentral:lncRNA from 1 species
GGAGGUAGGGAAAUCCCAAAAUGUCACGCUCGUUUGCCUUCCCUCCCUAAUCUCAUCUCGAAUCUCGUUUAAAAAAACAUCGCUUGCUGACCGUUGGAUUUUGAUCGGACGAAAGAGGAGAAGGGUUAGAUGGGAUAAGACUGGGGUGUGAUUGGUGGAGGGAUACGUGUUGUCGAAGUUCGUCAACGGGUCAGAGAUUGGGAUCUUCGCAUCCACUUCCCUACCUCAACAGGUUUCGACUUGCAUAUCCC